CAAAUGUCAAUACUGCCCCUCACUUUAUCUUCCCUCCCUUGAGCGAUUCGACAAAACUUUCUACCCUUUGAUUCUUAUCUCUCUUCCCAGAACACAGGCCAAAGUGAAACUCCAAUGCCAUCAGCCAAUUUUCGAGCUCCGUCCAGCACAAUUGACAUUAUUUUCUCCUCCACCGGCCAUCGACUACAUCGUCGAUUGCAUGACAUGGGUAAAUGAAGAAAGGGAAGGAGUUCUGCCAAUGUAACAUCCUUAGGAAUGAACUUAAUUGAGGUUGAAGGACGACAAGAAGUUGUAAACCAAGCAGAGAUUGAUGUCAUUUCUCAUAGCAAAUAAUUGGCUCUAAUUCUUAGUGCACAAACAUUAGGAGAUGCAAGCUUGCUCAGUUGAUGAUUUGGAGUCUUGUUGUUUAUAGUUUUGGAUUUCGAGUUUGCUCGAGUUGAUGUAUUGAUGUAUUCGAUCUUGUUGAGUUGAUGAUUCAAGUUUUUAUGAUGUAUUCUCAGACUUGUUAUAGAUUUGGAUUUCGAGUUUUUAAUGAAGAAUUGAAGUGCAAUUUCUACUA